UACAGGGGGGGCAAGCGUUGUUCGGAAUUACUGGGCGUAAAGGCCAGUAGCGGCCAACUAAGUCCGACGUGAAAUCCCCAAGCUUAACUUGGGAACUGCGUCGGAUACUGGAUGGCUUGAAUUCGGGAGAGGGAUGCAGAAUUCCAGGUGUAGCGGUGAAAUGCGUAGAUAUCGUGGAGGAAUACCGGUGGCGAAGGCGGCAUCCUGGACCGACAUUGACGCUGAACGGCGGAAAGCUAGGGGAGCAAACGGG
rnacentral:rRNA from 1 species